GAUAGUGUGGCAUAAUGGAUUGAGUGUUGGACUAGGACUCUAGAGACCAGGGUUCAACUCCCAGCUCAGACA
rnacentral:tRNA from 1 species